CCGGCACGGGUGAGUAACACGUAUCCAACCUGCCGUCUACUCUUGGACAGCCUUCUGAAAGGAAAGAAUUAAUACAAGAUGGCAUCAUGAGUCCGCAUGUUCACAUGAUUAAAGGUAUUCCGGUAGACGAUGGGGAUGCGUUCCAUUAGAUAGUAGGCGGGGUAACGGCCCACCUAGUCUUCGAUGGAUAGGGGUUCUGAGAGGAAGGUCCCCCACAUUGGAACUGAGACACGGUCCAA
rnacentral:rRNA from 1 species